GAUGAACGCUGGCGGCGUGCCUAAUACAUGCAAGUCGAGCGAACGGACGAGAAGCUUGCUUCUCUGAUGUUAGCGGCGGACGGGUGAGUAACACGUGGAUAACCUACCUAUAAGACUGGGAUAACUUCGGGAAACCGUAGCUAAUACCGGAUAAUAUUUUGAACCGCAUGGUUCAAAAGUGAAAGACGGUCUUGCUGUCACUUAUAGAUGGAUCCGCGCUGCAUUAGCUAGUUGGUAAGGUAACGGCUUACCAAGGCAACGAUGCAUAGCCGACCUGAGAGGGUGAUCGGCCGCACUGGAACUGAGACACGGUCCAGACUCCUACGGGAGGCAGCAGUAGGGAAUCUUCCGCAAAGGGCGAAAGCCUGACGGAGCAACGCCGCGUGAGUGAUGAAGGUCUUCGGAUCGUAAAACUCUGUUAUUAGGGAAGAACAUAUGUGUAAGUAACUGUGCACAUCUUGACGGUACCUAAUCAGAAAGCCACGGCUAACUACGUG
rnacentral:rRNA from 1 species